rnacentral:tRNA from 1 species
GGGGGUAUAGCUUAGUGGUAGAGCACAUGCUUAGCAUGCAUGAGGUCCUGGGUUCAAUCCCCAGUACCUCCA